GUGCCAGGCCGCCGCGGUAAUACGUAGGUGGCAAGCGUUGUCCGGAAUUAUUGGGCGUAAAGCGCGCGCAGGCGGUCCUUUAAGUCUGAUGUGAAAGCCCACGGCUCAACCGUGGAGGGUCAUUGAAAACUGGGGGACUUGAGUACAGAAGAGGAAAGUGGAAUUCCACGUGUAGCGGUGAAAUGCGUAGAGAUGUGGAGGAACACCAGUGGCGAAGGCGACUUUCUGGUCUGUAACUGACGCUGAGGCGCGAAAGCGUGGGGAGCAAACAGGAUUAGAAACCCCGUAGUCC
rnacentral:rRNA from 1 species